UCCGAUCGCCUAGUGGUUAGAGCAUCCGUCUCCGAUGCGGGUGGUCACUGGUUCGAACCCCGGCCAUGUCAUAAAAA